CAGACAAAAACAAGCAUGGGCACUUGGUGACGUGUAUUUAGAUUCUCAACAAGUAUCCUUUGAAAUGUGGCUGGCGUAACUUCUGACACCUGAAAGCAGCAUCAUGUGUUCAUCCAGCAGGUGCGAUGGUGCCAAAUCAUUUAUGUGUUGAUAAUCUACAACAGCCUGCCUCCCGUCAAUGAGCAAGUCCACAGCCUCAGAUCCUCAGGUGUGGCAUGAUUUACCAUUGCGCUGUCAAGACUCCACACUCCAGCUCCACAAAUCAUUCCUUGGCAUCAUGAAAACAGCAUGUGACAGCCGCGGUCACCAUGGGCAGCUCCCCCUGUGACCAUCCCCACAGGGGAGGAGCACUAAGCGAAGGAAAAGCCCAUCCAAAUACCAAAGGCAUGAGGACUCUUUUCAUUUUAUGCUACUAAAGAUUGCCAACUCAGCAAGGCAGACGCAUCUUACAAGCCAGAGAAAAUUAAUGCUAUCUGCUAAUCAUGUCAACACGACAUGUUUUGUUCCAUAUUUAAAAGGCUGAGAAACCCUGAGUGCACGCAACUCUCGUGGUACAGUGUCACAAGCUCUAAAUUCCAACUCUCAAUUGAAAACACCAUCACGUCUUCCCACGCUGUAAAAAUUGGGGUGUUUGCUCAAUGGGAAAGUUAGAAAGAGAAAUUUUUAGUUAAUAUCAAAGCAUUUUAGAAGAUCUUAUUCAUUUUAGCAACAGUGAAAUGAAGAGAAAAAGCUUAUACUUGAGUUCAGUGGAAGGGAAGGCAUGUGAGAGCACAAGGUAGCUGGUGAAAAACAACAAAACCUUAAGCGAUACGCACAGUUCACCACAAAGAGUUAGUGGCAAGUCAACACCAGAGUUUGGUGGUGGUUAUUUAUAACAUAACAUAACAUAACAUAACAUAACAUAACAUAACAUAACAUAACAUAACAUAACGUUAAAAUAACAGCUAAAAUUUUCCAACAGGAAUGUUUAACAGACCACCAACUUAUGCUGGCCAAUUUACUAGUUUGUUGCAUGUAAUGAUAGUAGCCACUUGUUGAUAUACUACUCAGAUGAGAAGUUGAAUUUGUGCCAACUGAGAUAAGUUAUACUGGUCGGGCAACUAUGCUUUCAGUUGGGCUGCAAGUUGAGUGAAAGCAAACAGCAGUAUGAUCCCUGUCAUUUUUACCCUAAAACAGUACACCCAGAGUAAAUUUGAAGCUGUUCUUGAACCAUUUGGGGUAUCUGUAUUUUGAGACAGAUGACACUUUGGAUUUUUCUCCCCAACUGUCAGAAUCUAUUAAAGUGCUACUGGCUGUGAGUAAUGCAAGUUUGAAUACACAAAAAGAUGAAUUUAUUCUCUGCCAAUUUAUUAUUUUAAAACAUCUGCUUGGAAAAUGAAUGUAGCAUU